AAACGCUUGAAGUCAGUCGCGUCUUCCAGGGAUCAAGUUACCUAUGGGUGACCGCACUUUCUGGUCGACGGGUCAGCAUCAAUUUUGAUCGUUGGAUAAGGGCCUCGGGAAUGUGGCAUCUUCGGAUGUGUUAUAGACCUUGGUCGGAUACAACGGUUGGGAUUGAGGAACUCAGCACGCCGCAAGGCCGGGUUUUAAACCACGUUCGUGCUUAGGAUGCUGGCAUAAUGGCUUUAAUCGA
rnacentral:rRNA from 1 species